CCUGCCAGUAGUCAUAUGCUUGUCUAAAAGAUUAAGCCAUGCAAGUGCGAGUGAUUCGGAGCAUCACUCUUUGUAAAAGGAGGGGGAAGGCUCAGGAUGACUGCGAAAGGCUCAUUAAAACAGUUAUGGAUCUGGAUGGUCAGAAGAAAACGGAGAGGAUAAGGGUGUGAAAAUAGAGCUAAAACGAGGG
rnacentral:rRNA from 14 species